AACCUGGUUGAUCCUGCCAGUAGUCAUAUGCUUGUCUCAAAGACUAAGCCAUGCAUGUCUAAGUAUAAGUAUUAUACAGCGAAACUGCGAAUGGCUCAUUAAAACAGUUAUAGUUUAUUUGAUAAUCGAAUUUACAUGGAUAACCGUGGUAAUUCUAGAGCUAAUACAUGCUGGUGUGCCCGACUUUUGCGGAAGGGCGGUAUUUAUUAGAUAACAAGCCAAUAUUCCUCUGGUCUAUUGUGGUGACUCAUAAUAACUGAUCGAAUCGCAAGGCCUAUGGCCGCGAUAAGUCAUUCAAGUUUCUGCCCCAUCAGCUUUCGAUGGUAGUGUAUUGGACUACCAUGGCGUUUACGGGUAACGGAGGAUUAGGGUUCGAUUCCGGAGAGGGAGCCUGAGAAACGGCUACCACAUCUAAGGAAGGCAGCAGGCGCGUAAAUUACCCAAUCCUGACUCAGGGAGGUAGUGACAAGAAAUAACGGACCGAGGCCCUAGGGCUUCGGGAUUGCAAUGAGCCGAAUUUACACCCCUUAGCGAGAAUCGAUUGGAGGGCAAGUCUGGUGCCAGCAGCCGCGGUAAUUCCAGCUCCAAUAGC
rnacentral:rRNA from 1 species